UACGAAGGGGGCUAGCGUUGCUCGGAAUCACUGGGCGUAAAGCGCACGUAGGCGGCUUUUUAAGUCAGGGGUGAAAUCCUGGAGCUCAACUCCAGAACUGCCUUUGAUACUGAGAAGCUUGAGUCCGGGAGAGGUGAGUGGAACUGCGAGUGUAGAGGUGAAAUUCGUAGAUAUUGGGAAGAACACCGGUGGCGAAGGCGGCGACCUGGUCCGACACUGACGCUGAGGCGCGAAAGCGUGGGGAGCAAACAGG
rnacentral:rRNA from 1 species